GACGGGUGAGUAACACGUGGAUAAUCUGCCCUUCGGCGGGGGACAACAGUCCGAAAGGAUUGCUAAUACCGCAUACGUCAGCGAGGUCUUGGGACCUUGUUGGGAAAGAUGGCCUCUCCAUGGAAGCUAUCACCGAAGGAUGAGUCCGCGGCCCAUCAGCUAGUUGGCGGGGUAAUGGCCCACCAAGGCUUAGACGGGUAGCUGGUCUGAGAGGAUGAUCAGCCACACUGGAACUGAGACACGGUCCAGACUCCUACGGGAGGCAGCAGUGGGGAAUAUUGGGCAAUGGGCGCAAGCCUGACCCAGCCAUGCCGCGUGAGUGAUGAAGGCCUUCGGGUCGUAAAGCUCUGUGGGGAGGGAAGAAACCGCUUGCCGAUAAUACCGGCGAGUCUUGACGGUACCUCCUUAGCAAGCACCGGCUAACUCCGUGCCAGCAGCCGCGGUAAUACGGAGGGUGCAAACGUUGCUCGGAAUCAUUGGGCGUAAAGCGCACGU
rnacentral:rRNA from 1 species